AACGAACGCUGGCGGCAUGCCUAACACAUGCAAGUCGAACGAGACCUUCGGGUCUAGUGGCGCACGGGUGCGUAACGCGUGGAAACCUGCCCUUAGGUUCGGAAUAACUCCCCGAAAGGGGUGCUAAUACCGGAUAAUGUCUUCGGACCAAAGAUUUAUCGCCUUUGGAUGGGCCCGCGUUGGAUUAGCUAGUUGGUAGGGUAAAAGCCUACCAAGGCGACGAUCCAUAGCUGGUCGGAGAGGAUGAUCAGCCACACUGGGACUGAGACACGGCCCAGACUCCUACGGGAGGCAGCAGUGGGGAAUAUUGGACAAUGGGCGAAAGCCUGAUCCAGCAAUGCCGCGUGAGUGAUGAAGGCCUUAGGGUUGUAAAGCUCUUUUACCCGGGAUGAUAAUGACAGUACCGGGAGAAUAAGCUCCGGCUAACUCCGUG
rnacentral:rRNA from 1 species